UACGGAGGGUGCGAGCGUUAAUCGGAAUUACUGGGCGUAAAGCGCGCGUAGGCGGUUUGUUAAGUCGGAUGUGAAAGCCCCGGGCUCAACCUGGGAACUGCACCCGAUACUGGCCGACUUGAGUGCGAGAGAGGGAGGUAGAAUUCCAUGUGUAGCGGUGAAAUGCGUAGAUAUAUGGAGGAAUACCGGUGGCGAAGGCGGCCUCCUGGCUCGACACUGACGCUGAGGUGCGAAAGCGUGGGUAGCGAACAGG
rnacentral:rRNA from 1 species